GUCGAGCGGGCAUAGCAAUAUGUCAGCGGCAGACGGGUGAGUAACGCGUGGGAACGUACCUUUUGGUUCGGAACAACUGAGGGAAACUUCAGCUAAUACCGGAUAAGCCCUUACGGGGAAAGAUUUAUCGCCGAAAGAUCGGCCCGCGUCUGAUUAGCUAGUUGGUGAGGUAAUGGCUCACCAAGGCGACGAUCAGUAGCUGGUCUGAGAGGAUGAUCAGCCACAUUGGGACUGAGACACGGCCCAAACUCCUACGGGAGGCAGCAGUGGGGAAUAUUGGACAAUGGGCGCAAGCCUGAUCCAGCCAUGCCGCGUGAGUGAUGAAGGCCCUAGGGUUGUAAAGCUCUUUUGUGCGGGAAGAUAAUGACGGUACCGCAAGAAUAAGCCCCGGCUAACUUCGUGCCAGCAGCCGCGGUAAAUACGAAGGGGGCUAGCGUUGCUCGGAAUCACUGGGCGUAUAAGGGUGCGUAGGCGGGUCUUUAAGUCAGGGGUGAAAUCCUGGAGCUCAACUCCAGAUCUGCCUUUGAUACUGAAGAUCUUGAGUUCGGGAGAGGUGAGAGGAACUGCGAGUGUAGAGGUGAAAUUCGUAGAUAUAUCGCAAGAACACCAGUGGCGAUAGGCGGCUCACUGGCCCGAUACUGACACUAUAGACACCAAAGCGUGGGGAGCAAAAGGAUAGAUACCCUGGUAGUCCACGCCGUAAACUAUAAUGCCAGCGAUAGUGGGUUACUCACUAGAGGCGCAGCUACGCUUAGCAUCCCGCCUGGGAGUAC
rnacentral:rRNA from 1 species